rnacentral:rRNA from 1 species
UACGUAGGGGUGCAAGCGUUGUCCGGAAUUAUUGGGCGUAAGAGCUCGUAGGCGGUCUGUCGCGUCUGCUGUGAAAACUCGGGGCUUAACCCCGGGCCUGCAGUGGGUACGGGCAGACUAGAGUGCGGUAGGGGAGACUGGAAUUCCUGGUGUAGCGGUGAAAAUGCGCAGAUAUCAGGAGGAACACCGGUGGCGAAGGCGGGGUCUCUGGGCCGUAACUGACGCUGAGGAGCGAAAGCGUGGGGGAGCAAACAGG